CCUACGGGUGGCAGCAGUGAGGAAUAUUGGUCAAUGGCCGGAAGGCUGAACCAGCCAUGCCGCGUGAAGGUCAGUGCCCUAUGGGCGUUAAACUUCUUUUGUUCGGGAGCAAUAAUGGUCACGUGUGGCCAGACGAGAGUACCGUACGAAUAAGCAUCGGCUAACCCCGUGCCAGCAGCCGCGGUAAUACGGGGGAUGCAAGCGUUAACCGGAUUUAUUGGGGUUUAAGGGUGCGUAGGCAGUGAGGUAAGUCAGCGGUGAAAUGCCCGAGCUUAACUCGGGAACUGCCUCUAAUACUGUUGAUCUAGAGAGUAGAUGCGGUAGGCGGAAUGUAUGAUGUAGCGGUGAAAUGCUUAGAGAUCAUACAGAACACCGAUUGCGAAGGCAGCUUACCAAUCUAUAUCUGACGUUGAGGCACGAAAGCGUGGGGAGCAAACAGGAUUAGAUACCCCGGUAGUC
rnacentral:rRNA from 1 species